UACGUAGGAUGCAAGCGUUGUCCGGAUUUAUUGGGUUUAAAGGGUGCGUAGGCGGCAUAUUAAGUUAGUGGUGAAAACGUUCGGCUUAACCGAAUACCCGCCAUUGAUACUGAUAGACUUGAGUGCGACAGAGGGUGUUGGAAUGUGUGGUGUAGCGGUGAAAUGCUUAGAUAUCACGCAGAACACCAAUUGCGAAGGCAGAUGCCUAUGUCGUAACUGACGCUGAGGCAAGAAAGCGUGGGGAGCAAACAGG
rnacentral:rRNA from 1 species